rnacentral:lncRNA from 12 species
CUUCCUGACCUUCUCCAGGCUCAGUAGUGCUGGAGCCUCCGGCAUAUUUCAUCCUCUUCCACAUCGAUUGUGACUCCACUCUCCUCUCUCCCUCUGCUGAGGGAGCACCUUUCAUCUGUACUUCUGCUGUCCAGUACACCAAAGCAGGCGACUUAAGCACACACACUGCAAGACAGUCCACUUACACUUACAGACUAUUG